CCCUUAGAUGUUCUGGGCUGCACGCGCGCUACACUGAAGCUAUCAACACGUUUUCCCUCCCUGAGAAGGGCGGGUAACCUUUUGAAUCAGCUUCGUGGUAGGGAUCGGGGCUUGCAAUUGUUCCCCGUGAACCAGGAAUUCCUAGUAGACGCGAGUCAUAAGCUCGCAUCGAUUAAGUCCCUGCCCUUUGUACACACCGCCCGUCGCUACUACCGAUUGACCGUUUUAGUGAGGCAUUUGGACCGACGCAUCUCAGUUUAACCGCUGGUUUGUGUUGGAAAGACUUCCAAACUUGAGCGUUUAGAGGAAGUAAAAGUCGUAACA
rnacentral:rRNA from 1 species